rnacentral:rRNA from 1 species
GACGAACGCUGGCGGCGUGCUUAACACAUGCAAGUCGAACGGUGAAGCGCCUUCCUUUUUGGUGGGUGUGGAUGAGUGGCGAACGGGUGAGUAACACGUGAGUAACCUGCCCCCUUCUUCUGGAUAACCGCAUGAAAGUGUGGCUAAUACGGGAUAUUCUGGGUCUGUCGCAUGAUGGGUCUGGGAAAGAUAUUGUUUCGGUGGGGGAUGGGCUCGCGGCCUAUCAGCUUGUUGGUGGGGUGAUGGCCUACCAAGGCGGUGACGGGUAGCCGGCCUGAGAGGGUGGACGGUCACACUGGGACUGAGACACGGCCCAGACUCAGACGGGAGGCAGCAGUGGGGAAUAUUGCACAAUGGGCGCAAGCCUGAUGCAGCGACGCCGCGUGAGGGAUGGAGGCCUGCGGGUUGUGAACCUCUUUCGCCAGUGAAGCAGGCCUGCCUCGUUUGUGGGUGGGUUGACGGUAGCUGGAGAAGAAGCGCCGGCUAACUACGUG